CUUUUAUUAAUAACCAAUUUCCAUUCAUGUGGGAAAAGCUGAAAUCCAAGAAAAAAACUAAAACAAACGCUGGUUUGAGCUUUAUCUAAACUGACAAAGAUGAUUCAAUUUUGAUAUAGUGUAUUCAAAUGGGGGAACAUUGUAGGUCUGCCCUUUAAAAUGCAUAAUGCUGUGUGCAAUGCAUUGUAAUUCAUGAUAUUGGUUGCUUCCUCCCAUUGCUGUUAACUCUGCAUGACUGCAUUUUCUCAGACUGGAGACCUCAUCUUCUAUAUAUAUUAGUUGGCAGGAAAGGGAUUGGUUCCAAAAGGGAUAGAAGUAGACCACGCUCAAGGUUGACAGGAAGAGAUGCAUUAAGGGAUGGGGCUUUAUCUGCAUUGGGAACGGUAAUGGGUGACUCUGCCGCUCUUGUACUGCCACAUGCUCGUAGUUCUCAGUAAUGCAUGACUCUAAACCGGUCUGCAUGUUGAAUGAAAAUAUUGUUUUUUAUAAAACUAAAAGCAUGAAUUCCCUAAUAUCCAUGGUGAUUACAUUUGCUAUGUUAAGUGACUUUGUCUACAUGACCUGCAGUGCCACUUAGCUCUCUUUCUCUCUCUUUACCAACGUUUCAGCAAUAUCUGCCAUAUAAUGUUAAUAAUAAACCUUUACGUGAAUGAGACCGCCACAGGUCACUGUUCGUGAUGAAGGGCCAGCAGUGAUUUGAUGUAAAUCAUGUUUUUAUGAAAAAAAUCAACAGAGACAAAUUCAAAUAUGUUACUGGUUCUAGAACAUAAAGCAAGUAAUGAGUUACAUUUAGAGACAUAAACAAUACAGCUUAUCUGUUUUAUAAGCUGUAUUCUCAUAAAAAAAUAAAUGUAUUCUAAUUCUCUGUUAUUGGAAUUAUUGUCAGAAUUGAGGAGGAAUCAUAACAUUUUAGGCCAGAAUAGUAAAAUUGGAGAAAAAAAUACCAGGUUUUUUUUUUUUUUCAAGUCCAACUUUUUUUUUUACCAAAUUUUCAAAAGUUUCUGGUUUAUUAGAAUAAAACAGUGUUGGAUACAGUACUACUUAUAUUAUGGACCGUGACAAGAAAAAUAUUUACAACUCAAAAGUACAGGAUAGUCUUCUUAAAAUUGAAAAUGUGCCCUUAUUAGAACAACCAAAAGGCAAUCUGGUAAUGUUUGGAUUUAAAAGUGAGUCUUUUGUCAAGUACACAUUUUACCACAUUUGACCACAUUUGUCAAAAUGUCAAUAUUUAUUUCAUAGCUGUCAUUGGUUGCUUCUUUGUUUUCAAAAUUCUUAGAGGGAACAUGUUGUUACCAAGGAGCCUCCGUAGGUCAGUGUUACAUUUCAGUGAAAAAUUAUAUUUGUUUCAACCACUCCUUACCCAAAUUAACCUCCUGUCUGUACAUUUCUGACCACUGAAGAGGAUACCAUAACCAGACAAAUUUUACCCACUACACCAUAUAAGGACUCUGAAGCUUUACUUACCGCCCACUGACAUGAUGUGUUAUGGCUCCUGAUGUUGGUCUACCAAUGAGAAAACAAGGAAAGUGGCACUGCAGCUGUAAUUUUAGAAAAAUUUUAAUUUUAUUUUUGCUGUUAAUUUUUGUUCAGGGCAUUGAAUAAAAAAAAAAAAUGUAUGACCACUGUGAUUUAUUUAAAAAAUAACAAUAAAUAAGCUUUGUGAUUUUUUUUCACAAUACUUUGUGGUCAAAAAUAUAUAUUUGUGACGGUAAUAUUUUCAGUGCCAAAUAUAUGAGCAGUAAUGUCUGACAAAAUAAAAAUAAUUACAAAAAAA